rnacentral:rRNA from 1 species
GACGAGGGACCUAGCGUUGUUCGGAAUCAUUGGGCGUAAAGCGUGCGCAGGCGGUUGUGCAAGACCGAUGUGAAAUCCCCGGGCUUAACCUCGGGAAUGGCAUUGGUGACUGCACGGCUAGAGUGUGUCAGAGGGGGGUAGAAUUCCACGUGUAGCAGUGAAAUGCGUAGAGAUGUGGAGGAAUACCGAUGGCGAAGGCAGCCCCCUGGGAUAACACUGGACGCUCAUGCACGAAAGCGUGGGGAGCAAACAGG